rnacentral:sRNA from 1 species
GGAACGCAUCAAGAGGAAAGAAUUAAAAAUUUAUCUCACCUUACAAGUGCGAUUCAUAAAAACCAAAGGAGAUCAAGUUGAAACUGCAGACCUCAUUUCCAUGGACUUUGUCAUAUAGUGGUAAACAACGAAAAUAUUGAGCUCGCUCUGAGGGAGAGCAUCAUGAACAUGUUCAACUCUUUCACUGAAUACCAAAGAGAAGGCAGUAACUGGGUACUGUACAAGGUUCUGGGAGUGGCAAUCCAUAUCGUGCAAUACAAUCAGAUAAAAGGCUCCAGUUAUUUACCACUUCCAGCAAGACGUGCCAGCAAAAAAGCAAUUGUCGACGUUCAGAAUACCGAUCAAAGAUUCUUCAUGUUGUCGGUAUUAGCUGCUUGUUACCCAGUGACAAAGAAUCCAUAACGAGUUAUGAAAUAUCUGCGACACAUUGAGAAGCUAGACUUCUCGGGCAUUUCAUAUCCUGUUAGGGUUGGAGACAUUCCUAAAUUUGAAAAGAGAAAUGACAUAUCCAUUAGUAGAUUUGGUUAUGAAAAACUAGAAUUAUAUCCUCUCCAUUUGACAAGAGAAAGAGGAAUAUAAUAUGUGGAUCUUCUCAUCCUAGACAGGGGAGAAAACUCACACUACUGUUGGAUAAAAAACUUUAACAGAUUACUGAAAGAAGGACAAAAAGGAAACCAACUGUUUCAUUAUCAUUAUUGUCUGCAUGGAUUUACUAAACAGCAGCUUUUAGAAAAACAUGUGCUUUACUGUAAAGUACACGGUGCAAAGCGGACCGAAAUGCCAACUGAAGAAGACAAAUGGCUAGAGUUCAGCGAUGUUUCAAAGCAACUCAAGGUUCUAUUUGUGAUCUAUGCCGACUUUGAAAAUUUCGUCGACACGUUCCAAUGUUUGUCUACAUCUCUCAACAAACUAUCCACUAAUCUAGCCAAAGAGGGUCUCCAUAAAUUUCCUCAUCUCCAAGCACACGUAGCCUCUACUCAUCCAGGAAAAAAUCAAACAAAGCUUCAGUUGCUGAGCAGAAAGGGAGUGUAUCCAUACCCCUACAUGAACUCCAUCAAGAGGGCCCCGGGACUAGCAAGGCAGGCCGCUCUAAAGAUGACAGAUGUUAACCUUGAGCUUUUGGCCGACUUUGAUAUGCAUCUCUUUGUGGAAAAGGGGCUCAGAGGGGGCAUUGCUAUGAUUUCUAAAAGAUGGGCAAUGAGUCAGACGCUACUGACUCAUGAUUUUUGUUGGCUGACCCCCGACGAAAUGAAGACGAUCGACGUCCAUUCUAUUCCUCUCGAUGGAGACACUGGUUAUGUAUAAAUAUCCCAUGGAAUUGCAUGACUACCCCAAUGACUAUCCUUUAUCCCCUG